ACUGUUGAGGCGGAACCACUACCCAGCGGCGCUACGACAUCGGCUGUUGAAUGGCAACAUCCGAAACACCGAACGAAACACGAGAAAUUCGUCCGACGAUGGAGGCACGGUUGUGUACAAACCGAUGCUGUUUGUGAAUGACCUGACACAACGGCUGAGUAAGGCAUUAAAAGCGGCCUUCCCCAACAUAACACUAGCGUCAAGAUACGGGAACACCGCCAGCAGAAUUUUCACCAACAUGAAAGACACUAUUCCUCCAGAGAUGCGACAUAACGUGAUCUACAGGAUUCCCUGCAACGAUUGCGAAGCCAGCUAUGUCGGGUUAACCACAACCCAACUGAAAAAACGCAUAAGCAGCCACCGAUCAACGAUUAAUGAAAUGGAAAGACUCCGCGGCAAAAACGAUGACGAUCCCAGCACACAAUUCGAUCUCGAACGACUUAAAGAGAAGACGGCACUCCUUUACCACAGCAUCGAAGCAAAUCAUAACUUCAACCUAGAAAAAACAAAAAUUAUCGAUCAGCACACACGAAAAUUAGCUCUCCCGAUUUUAGAAGUCUGUCAUAUUGUUAACACCAAACAUGCAGUCAACAAACGGUCCGAUGUUGACAAUCUCAGCUCCAUGUAUGCAGGUGUACUACACACACUUAACAAACAGAUCCCAACACAGAACACGCACACACCAGCAAACGAAACCCAAUAGCAAACUGUAAGAGCUAAUAGCUAAUACCCAAUAUAUAUUGCACCCACUGUUAGUCCACACUUUUUCGCUCCAUUUUGAACCGAAUUUGAGUUAGCGGUUGAAAGAGUAGUGAAGAAAGUUUGUGGCAGAGUUUAUUUGUUAAGUUUAAAUAAGAGCGGGUUUGAAUAUUGACACAAUAGUAGCUAGUAAAUAGGACAGGAAUGCUGAUGCCGAAGCUUGUAUGACAAAAACGAUUUAUGUUAUGAUUCCCUGAUGAAGGUGCAAUAUACACCGAAACGUUGGUGAAAGAGCGAUAUUAAUUCGUUUUAUUGCUGAAAGACUGCGAAGCCGAAAAACACCCCCUGAUAAAAUCCCUCAGUCGAUAGCAUAAAUUGCAGUUAGUUGUAAGUUUACUUCCUCUUUUUUGACAAGUAGGUUUAAAUCCCUACGAAUG